AAGUUUUGGAUUUGAUAGAACUUUCUACUAGUAGAGAUAAAGACAAGGAAAAGCUAGUUUGAGCUUUCAGCUUUUUGGCAAAAGCAUAAUUGAUUAGUUGUGUGUCGGUGUGAGCAGUGUGGUUCUGAAAGGUGAUCCAAGCAAGAAUUUUGUAUUAUUUUGUUUUUGGUUUGGUUUACCAGGAUUACAUGUUGUUAGUAUGCUUGAGUUCACAAAAAUGAGAAUGGUUUGAGUUUACUUGUUCGAACACGAUUUUUUGGUAUUGAACUGUUAAUUAGGCCGUUGAAUGAUUAUUUGUUGAAGUAAUUGAUGGAUGAUGCUUAGAAACUAA